AAAUUAUUAGAGAUAUUUCUAUUCUUCCAUGCAUGGGAAAACUACAACCAAGGUGUAAACUUGGAAGGAGCAUGUUUGGAGAUUUUUCCAGGAUGGACAGAGGAAACCAUACUGAGAAGAAGAAGCAAAACAUGAACUGCCUGUCUCUAUGGGUUGCAGCUGGACAUUUGAGUAGAAGAAAAAAAACUGAAAGGUGAUUACAGAGGAGGAGUGGUGAAGAGAUUCAUCGUUUGCCCUGUUUCUUCACAGCAUUAUUAUUUGCCUUGUUAUGGUGAUAGGCCAUAAAAGCCAGUAACAAAUAAAUGAGAUGGACAUUUUAUGAUCACCAAGGAGAAGAUAACCGUGAGAAAUUCUGCUCUAAUCAAGUGUAUUCUGUGCUCACUGGGUGGGAGGGUCACGCUGUGUGAGACUAAUAAGGACAGAGCUGCAUCCCCCUCUACCACUCUUUGGAGACUCACUCCAGCAACUCCUCAGCACUACAGCAGCGUCGUGCAGGCAUUUACUGUGCUUCUGGGGGACAUAGUAGAGCAAAAAUUAAAGAUUUGUGGCUGAUUGU
rnacentral:lncRNA from 1 species